UCUAGAGGCUUCGGCAAUGCCCGAAAGGGUGACCGAGCGACGCCGCGUGCGGGAUGAAGGCCUUCGGGUUGUAAACCGCUUUUGUUUGGGAAGAAUGCUCUUAUCGUGAAUAAGAGAGGGACGGUACCAGACGAAUAAGCCCCGGCUAACUCCGUGCCAGCAGCCGCGGUAAGACGGAGGGGGCAAGCGUUGUUCGGAAUUAUUGGGCGUAAAGGGCGCGUAGGCGGAUCUGUGUGUCUGGCGUGAAAUCUCCACCACUUAACGGGGAGAGGUCGCUGGAAACUGCAGAUCUGGAGUUUGUUAGAGGACCAUGGAAUUCCAGGUGUAGCGGUGGAAUGCGUAGAUAUCUGGAAGAACACCGGUGGCGAAGGCGGUGGUCUGGGACAAAACUGACGCUGAGGCGCGAAAGCCAGGGGAGCAAACGGG
rnacentral:rRNA from 1 species